CCCGAGUCUCCACAGAUUCAUAAAAUCAAUACACAAUUGCAGGAUGCUUUCAUUCUUACUCAUCAUCUGUCUGUUGGUCUCUGGAACUAAUGCACACCAUACCCAUGGAUGGAAAUCAUCAUCGAGCAAUGAGAGGUUUUACUUCCAUCAUUACCCUGUACAGCAGCCUACAUGGUAUGACAUCCUGUGGCAAUUCUAUCCAUGGAUUCUACCUGGCCCCGCCCCUGGCCCCGCCCCUGCUCCAAACCCCGCCCCUGGGCCCACACCUGGACCAUCUCCUGUCACUUCAAUCCGUGGAGACAACGGUUAGAUCUCAUCUCGUCUCAGAUCCGUCCUGGCCAAACUAUAGAGAAAAAAACAACUUUGAGUUCAC